rnacentral:lncRNA from 1 species
CGGGGUAGAGAAGACCGUUCUCCCACUUUUUGUGUGGUGGUUCCUAUUGUGGCUGGGGGUCACCUACAGUCUUCACUGUGAUGUUCUGAGACUGGAUUUUCGUUUUGUCUGACAGGCCAGGGCUUUGACCGACACUUGUAUGCUCUGCGCUAUCUGGCAACGGCCAGAGGACUCAACCUACCUGAGCUCUAUCUGGAUCCUGCAUACCAGCAGAUGAACCACAACAUCCUGUCCACCAGCACUCUGAACAGCCCAGCAGUGAGCCUUGGGGGCUUUGCCCCUGUGGUCCCUGAUGGCUUUGGCAUUGCAUAUGCUGUUCACGAUGACUGGAUAGGCUGCAAUGUCUCCUCCUACUCAGGACGCAAUGCCCGAGAGUUUCUCCACUGUGUCCAGAAGUGCUUGGAAGACAUUUUCGAUGCUCUAGAAGGCAAAGCCAUCAAAACUUAGCUUCCUAGUCGCUGAAAAGCCUCCAUUCUUCCUCAUGAACAUGGAUGUUCAUGUAGCUGGAAGGUGCCAUCUUGUGCCCAACAAAACUAAUCCCAAGGUGCUUCCACAGCCAGUGCUGCAGGCUGAGCUGGAAGAGCCCAACUGAAGGUAGUGAGAGGUCGCAGCUGUAAAGCCCUCUUUGUUCAGGAGAUAGGGUUUGGAAAACUAACUCAGCUGUAUUUAUUGUUUAAAUAGAAAUAAAACCUGGUGUUGCUUAGAAA